UUCAACCGGGAGCGCGCGCGGAGUUCACGCGGGGUAAAGGCGACACGCGCACGCGCUCGGGGCGGAAAAAAAACGGAGACUUUGAAAAGUUGUAGGAGGCGCAGAGCCGGAGCCAGAGGAGAACGAAGAGGAGAACGAAAAGGAGAACGAAAAGGAGAACGAAAAGGAGAACGAAGACAACGGCUCCAGGAUGUACACUGCCCCACGCAGGCGCCCCAUGUGAGUGCGCUCGUGCACACUCUGGAGGCUGGAGGCGUUCUCUCUCUCUCUCUCUCUCUCUCUCUUUUCUCUGCUCCUCUUUUUCUUACCAACUCCUGCCAAAAGUGACGACACGUUGAGCCAUGUCGUUCCACAUGAGUCUGUCUGAUCUGGACUCUUCUGUCCUGCUGCGCGAGGACCGCGCGGACACCACAGACACCUGCGCGUGCCCGAGCACCGUGGAGCUCAGUCAGGCCGUGUCCGUGUCUCUCGGGCUGGAUCCGGUGUCUUCUCCUCUCAACAACAACAGAAACGGAAACGGCGGCGCCGCUUUCUCCGAGUUCGAGCCGAGCGCGAGGAGCGGCCCCGGGGACUCCCCCGACAUGAACCGGGACGGACUCGGACUCAGAGAGGACGAGUUUGGUGAAGUUUGCCAGGGCAUGCAGCAGGUGAGCUGUUUGGACAUGCUGCGCUCGCCCGACGCGGACCGCGCGCCCGGCUUUACGCGCGGCCCCGUUAUCACGCGGUUCGUGGGUCGAGAUUCAAACUUGUUCCUGAGUCCGGAGCCCCCCGCCCCGCAGCACACGGACGGGAUGAUUCCGCUGAGCCCGUACACGGCCCCCGCGACCCACCCGGGGGUACACGCGUGGCGCCCGAACGAGCGCGCGUACGGCGAGGGAACCGACCCGGAGCGCGCCGUGUGCGCCCUGCCCGCGGCGCCGCUCACCGGGCCGUGUAAAUACUGUAACUGCGCGCGUGGAGCGCGGCAGGACUGUCGCUGCGCGUGGUACGGGCCCGAGCAGCAGGUCGGAAAAGGCGCCACGCGCCCGGACUACGGACAAGUGGAAAGUUACCAAAGUGUGAUGACCCACGGACACGCGCCUUUCUCCAGCAUCAAAACAGAACCCGCGGUGUGGGUGGACUGCACUGACCACAGCACUGACCACAGCACUGACCACAGCACUUACCACAGCUUCAGGCACUCGGACCUGUUCCCCGGAGUGUACUUGUCCGAUCGACGCGUUUGUCAGGUUUGUGGGGACGAUGCUUCAGGCUGUCACUAUGGAGCCGUCACCUGUGGAAGCUGCAAAGUGUUCUUCAAAAGAGCGGCAGCAGGUAAACAAAACCACCUGUGUGCGAGUAGAAACGACUGCACCAUCGACAAACUGAGACGGAAAAACUGUGCCUCGUGUCGACUCAAACGAUGCUUCAUGUCUGGAAUGAGUCUGAAAGGUCGCAGGCUGAAGGGCGCGGGCCAGAGCAGACAUGGCGAGGACGAGCCGACAGGCGCCGCUCACUGGGGGGAGAGAGCGGAGAGGGCAGGUACAAAAGACCCGGAGCCAGGAAGCAGCGGCGCAUCCAGGCCCCAGAACGGCUUGUCUCAGGCGUCCUCCCUGAGCAUCCCCCCCUCGCUGCGCUCCUGUAUGUCCCUCCUGAGUGUCCUACAGACCAUAGAGCCGGCCGUGGUCAACGCGGGGCACGAUAACACCCAGAUGGACAGCCCCUCGUCCCUCCUGACCAGCCUGAACGAGCUCGGAGAGAGGCAGCUGGUCACCGUGGUGCGCUGGGCCAAGGCCAUCCCAGGGUUCCGGGACCUUCAUGUGGACGACCAGAUGACCGUGAUCCAGCUCUCGUGGAUGAACGUGAUGGUUUUCGCUCUGGGCUGGAGGUCGUACACUCUGACCAACAGUAGCAUGUUGUACUUCGCCCCUGACCUGGUCUUCAACGACCAGCGGAUGCACGUGUCCAGUAUGUACGACCACUGUGUUCGUAUGAAGGUUCUGUCUCAGCAGCUGUGUGUCCUGAAGGUCACACAGGAGGAGUUCCUCUGUAUGAAGGCCCUGGUCCUGUUCAGCAUCAUGCCGGUGGAGGGUCUGAAGAGUCAGAGAUGUUUUGACGAUCUCAGGACGUCGUACAUUAAAGAGCUGGAGCGUUUGGCGAGUCACCACGGCGACGGCGCCCGGACGCAGCGGCUGUUCCAGCUCACGCAGCUGCUGGACUACCUACAGGCGGUGGUGAAGAAGCUUCAUCAGUUCACGUACGACCUCUUCAUCGAGGCGCAGUCGCUCCAGACUCGUGUCAACUUUCCGGAGAUGAUUUCCGAGAUCGUGAGCGUCCACGUUCCCAAAAUCCUCUCUGGGAUGGUCAAGCCGAUCCUGUUUCACAAAACGGCCUAAGGGAUAAACCACUAAACUUUAUCCACCUGAAACGACAGGUGUCUGACCAGUGCUGCGGUCAGCCCGUGCCACUGUGUGACAUCAUGAGGUGAAAUGAAUAAGCUCUUUAUGGUUGAACUUCCACUUUAUUCAAAUGUAAAAAUAUCUGCUCUUCUCGCUCUUUGUUUGUUGUACUUUUCUGAAGCUCAGACUCGUUUGGUGAAGGUCGGGACGAUGUUUAAAAUAUUAAAGCUUUAUUACGCAGCUUUUCUCUGGUAAAUGAGUAAAGUGUUUGGUAAAAGCAGCACUUUGUGACAUAAUCAGACGUCUACAGCAGCUCGACGAUCACGAACGACACAGAGAUGGACAGAAAGAAUGAGAGAAUGAGAUGGACAGAACGAGAUGGAUGGACAAAGAGAUGGACAGAUGGACAGAUGGACAGAUGGACAGAUGGACAGGUGGAAACACGAUUAUGAAAUGUCAAAGCCGACAGCUGUUUUCAUACAGACGACAUCCAGCCAUGAGACAAAUAAAACACUAAAACAAACGUGACGUCACAUGACUCCGGGGGUGAGAGCUGAUUGGCUGAGCUCGUUCUUAAACUGUGUGAGUUUGAGUCGGAUUCAGUUUGUUUGAUUUAAAAAAACAACUUUUACUUUGUGUUUUCAUCAUGAGGCGCCGCAGGUUUAGUGCAAAUGUCAGAAACGACAAAAUGGAACUCGAACCUGCAACACCGUCAUGGACCUCUAGAGGGCGCUGCAGUGCGAAGUGUGAAGUGUGUUGCCCAAAAGCACAAUGGAAACCGCACUCAGGAAAAAUUUAAAUAAUGAGGCACUGCUCGAGAAUCUCCCUGGAACCAAAACACAAGGAAUCGAUUCAACACAAGGAAUCGAUUCAACACAAGGAAUCGAUUCAACACAAGGAAUCGAUUCAACACAAGAAUCAAAGGGCUAAAAGUUGAUUUUCUCGUGUCGCUUCGUCCCGAGUUCGACUUCGUGACCAGAUUAAACAUUUACAUUCUGUAUCGUCGGCCAUUUUGUGUUUUAGACUAACUACAAAUACACUACACCUACAAAACACCUACAAAACACCUACACUACACCUACACUACAACUACAAAACACCUACACUACACCUACACUACACCUACACUACACCUACACUACAACUACAAACCACCUACAAAACACCUACACUACACCUACACUACACCUACACUACACCUACAAAACACCUACACUACACCUACAAACCACCUACAAAACACCUACACUACACCUACACUACAACUACAAAACACCUACACUACACCUACACUACACCUACACUACACCUACACUACAACUACAAACCACCUACAAAACACCUACACUACACCUACACUACACCUACACUACACCUACAAAACACCUACACUACACCUACAAACCACCUACAAAACACCUACACUACACCUACAAACCACCUACAAAACACCUACACUACACCUACACUACACCUACACUACACCUACAAAACACCUACACUACACCUACAAACCACCUACAAAACACCUACACUACACCUACAAAACACCUACAAAACACCUACACUACACCUACACUACAACUACAAAACACCUACACUACACACUAGCAGGUGUGUGUGUCACCGCGUGUGCAUCCAGUAGGACAGAUCACAGACCAUUACAGUGCUGUGUCCAGUCCGUGUCCAGUCCGUGUCCAGUCCGUGUCCAGUCCGUGUCCAGUCCGUGUCCAGUCCGUGUCCAGUCCGUGUGCAGCUCUUUCUCCUGUGACGUCUCGUUGUGCUCAGUGAACAGUUGUCGUUGUUGUGGUCAGUUUUGAAGCUUUUUUUUUUUUUUACUUGGGGCUAAACUUUUUUCAUCCAUAAAAUAAAACGUUGAAGCCAAAAUGUUUGUAUUUCAGACGUGAUGUACAGGCCACGUUUUCCUCCGAUCAUGUUCCAAUGAAUAUUUAUACAUUUUCAGAUUGAACAGAUAAUUGUGUUGUGUUUUUUAGGCUUUGCUCUUGUGACGUUUUGAACAUAAACGACUUUUCUACCCUUUUCUUAAAGUGAACUUUGUAAACACGUCUGUGUUUGUCCUGCUGCCAAAAAAGACAAAUCUGACAAAUGUCAAAACUGUAUCUGCAUUUUACUGCGUCAAUAAAAUAUGAGCAUGACAUC